CCUACGGGUGGCUGCAGUAAGGAAUAUUGGUCAAUGCCCGGAAGGGUGAACCAGCCAUGCCGCGUGCAGGAUGACGGCCCUAUGGGUUGUAAACUGCUUUUGGAUAGGAAGAAUGGAUUGUAUUGAUAUGAUUUUGACGGUACUAUCAGAAUAAGCACCGGCUAACUCCGUGCCAGCAGCCGCGGUAAUACGGAGGGUGCGAGCGUUAUCCGGAUUUACGGGGGCGUAAGGGUGCGUAUACGUCGGGGUUGAAAGCAUGGAGCUUAACUGCAUAAUUGCCUUCGAUACUGUAAAGCUGGAAUUAAGUUGAGGUUGGCGGAAUGUGACAUGUAGCGGUGAAAUGCAUAGAUAUGUCAUAGAACACCGAUUGCGUAGGCAGCUGACUGAGCUUAAAUUGACGCUGAGGCACGAAAGCGUGGGGAGCGAACAGGAUUAGAUACCCUGGUAGUC
rnacentral:rRNA from 1 species